rnacentral:rRNA from 1 species
UACAGAGGUCUCAAGCGUUGUUCGGAUUCAUUGGGCGUAAAGGGUGCGUAGGUGGCGGGGCAAGUUGGAUGUGAAAUCCCGGAGCUUAACUCCGGAACUGCAUUCAAUACUGCCUUGCUAGAGUACUGGAGAGGAGAUUGGAAUUUACGGUGUAGCAGUGAAAUGCGUAGAUAUCGUAAGGAAGACCAGUGGCGAAGGCGGAUCUCUGGACAGUUACUGACACUGAGCACGAAGGCCAGGGGAGCAAACGGG